GGUUAAGCGACUAAGCGUACACGGUGGAUGCCUAGGCAAUCAGAGGCGAUGAAGGACGUGCUAAUCUGCGAUAAGCGUCGGUAAGGUGAUAUGAACCGUUACAACCGACGAUUUCCGAAUGGGGAAACCCAGUGCAAUUCGUUGCACUAUCGUUUGAUGAAUACAUAGUCAAACGAAGCGAACCGGGGGAACUGAAACAUCUCAGUACCCCGAGGAAAAGAAAUCAACCGAGAUUCCCCUAGUAGCGGCGAGCGAACGGGGAGCAGCCCAGAGUCUUAAUCAGCAUUAGCAUCAGGAGAACGGUCUGGAAAGUCCGGCAGUAAAGGGUGAUAGCCCCGUAUCCGAAGGUGUUAGUGUUGUGAACUCGACGAGUAGGGCGGGACACGUGUUAUCCUGUCUGAAUAUGGGGGGACCAUCCUCCAAGGCUAAAUACUCCUGAUUGACCGAUAGUGAACCAGUACCGUGAGGGAAAGGCGAAAAGAACCCC
rnacentral:rRNA from 1 species